GAUGAACGCUGGCGGCGUGCCUAAUACAUGCAAGUCGAGCGAACGGACGAGAAGCUUGCUUCUCUGAUGUUAGCGGCGGACGGGUGAGUAACACGUGGAUAACCUACCUAUAAGACUGGGAUAACUUCGGGAAACCGGAGCUAAUACCGGAUGAUAUUUUGAACCGCAUGGUUCAGAAGUGAAAGACGGUCUUGCUGUCACUUAUAGAUGGAUCCGCGCUGCAUUAGCUAGUUGGUAAGGUAACGGCUUACCAAGGCAACGAUGCAUAGCCGACCUGAGAGGGUGAUCGGCCACACUGGAACUGAGACACGGUCCAGACUCCUACGGGAGGCAGCAGUAGGGAAUCUUCCGCAAUGGGCGAAAGCCUGACGGAGCAACGCCGCGUGAGUGAUGAAGGUCUUCGGAUCGUAAAACUCUGUUAUUAGGGAAGAACAUAUGUGUAAGUAACUGUGCACAUCUUGACGGUACCUAAUCAGAAAGCCACGGCUAACUACGUGCCAGCAGCCGCGGUAAUACGUAGGUGGCAAGCGUUAUCCGGAAUUAUUGGGCGUAAAGCGCGCGUAGGCGGUUUUUUAAGUCUGAUGUGAAAGCCCACGGCUCAACCGUGGAGGGUCAUUGGAAACUGGAAAACUUGAGUGCAGAAGAGGAAAGUGGAAUUCCAUGUGUAGCGGUGAAAUGCGCAGAGAUAUGGAGGAACACCAGUGGCGAAGGCGACUUUCUGGUCUGUAACUGACGCUGAUGUGCGAAAGCGUGGGGAUCAAACAGGAUUAGAUACCCUGGUAGUCCACGCCGUAAACGAUGAGUGCUAAGUGUUAGGGGGUUUCCGCCCCUUAGUGCUGCAGCUAACGCAUUAAGCACUCCGCCUGGGGAGUACGACCGCAAGGUUGAAACUCAAAGGAAUUGACGGGGACCCGCACAAGCGGUGGAGCAUGUGGUUUAAUUCGAAGCAACGCGAAGAACCUUACCAAAUCUUGACAUCCUUUGACAACUCUAGAGAUAGAGCCUUCCCCUUCGGGGGACAAAGUGACAGGUGGUGCAUGGUUGUCGUCAGCUCGUGUCGUGAGAUGUUGGGUUAAGUCCCGCAACGAGCGCAACCCUUAAGCUUAGUUGCCAUCAUUAAGUUGGGCACUCUAAGUUGACUGCCGGUGACAAACCGGAGGAAGGUGGGGAUGACGUCAAAUCAUCAUGCCCCUUAUGAUUUGGGCUACACACGUGCUACAAUGGACAAUACAAAGGGCAGCGAAACCGCGAGGUCAAGCAAAUCCCAUAAAGUUGUUCUCAGUUCGGAUUGUAGUCUGCAACUCGACUACAUGAAGCUGGAAUCGCUAGUAAUCGUAGAUCAGCAUGCUACGGUGAAUACGUUCCCGGGUCU
rnacentral:rRNA from 1 species